UGGGCUGUGGCUUGAUGGUUGAGCACUUGCCUGGCUUGCUAGUGACCCUGGAUUUGAUCCCCAGCAACACAA
rnacentral:tRNA from 1 species